AUGGCGUAUGCACCUCUGUACAAGCAGCGCCGCAAGUACACCAGGGAGCUCCAUGACGUCCACCUCCACGGCAAUCACAAGCUCCAUGUCCUUUGCACAAGCAAGGGAAAAGACAUGGACAAGAUGUUGUCCAUGUUCAGGAGGAAGCUCGGCGGAAUGCCCAUCAAACUAGUCGGCGUUGAUGUCGAGUACACACACUACAAGAAGCCACAGCGUGCAGCGGUGCUACAGCUAUGCGUAGAAAAAGAAUGCCUUGUCUAUCACAUAUCUACAGCUAAAGACAGGCCAAUGGAACUAGACAAAUUCCUGAUGAAUGAUGAGUAG
rnacentral:rRNA from 1 species